UGAUCUGUAGGAGUACUAUUUGGUGGUCCAUAUGAUGGGCAAUAAAUCAUUUGUUUCCUACUGGAGGGGGAUUUGAACUAACUGAUCCCCCUGCCUCUCUCCCUCCUCCUGCCCUCCCCUCCCUCUCUCUCUGAUGAAGCCAGCUGCCAUGUUGUGGGCUGCCCUAUGGAGAGACCCACGUGGCAAGGAACUGAGGGUGGCCUCUGGCCGGCAGCCGGGGAAGAGCUGAGGCCCUCGUACCAAACUCUGUGGGAAACUGAAUCUUGCCAACCAUGUGAACUUGGAGGCAGAUCCGUCUCCUCUUGAACCUUGAGAUGCCUGUAGCCCAGCUGGCACCUUGAUCAAAGCAUGUGAAAGGCCCUGAGCUAGAAGAUCCAGCAAAGCCUUCCAUAGAGUCCCCACUUGGGGAAACCAUGAGAUGAGAAUCAGUAAUCCCUAACUCGUAAGGCUGUUGUGACAAUGACAUAAGACGUGUAAAAUGUUACACUUGCUGACUGGCCACACGGGGAGCCCUCGAUAACUGACCUGUACACACGUGACUGAAUUCUCCUCUACUGUCACUGGUGUUUCUUUGAAUAUUGGAUUAUCUUAUCCUCUUAACUGCUCUCCUAGUCUACAGAUUUCUGGAUUAAGAAGAGCCACAUGCAAGAAAGCUGUACCCGAGGGAUGUCAUCCAGUGCUGGACCAGAUGCAGCUCCUGGGAUAACUGGGCUCUGGGUCCAAUGUUCGGCUGUCUUGGAAGAAGGUGAAUUCAUUUGACAUGUGGGAGGAAUACACGUGGAUGAUACCCUGACCUGACUUCAUCUCCUCGUGGACUGAUGCACUGCUCUGGAUGUCCUUCUGUGAAGACGGAUGGACUGCCGCCAGUCUUCAAAGACAAAGUGUUGGGUAGCGGUAAUGAUGUGAAGUGGAAAUGAGCUAGAACGGGGAGCGAGGAGGAAGGCCUUGCGCACACUGCGGACUCUGACAGGGCAAUGCCUCACCUACUGAGGACUCUCCUCAUGGGAAAAUUCCAGAAGCUAGAAGAGCAUGUCACCAGAAAAGAGCUCUUUCUUAGUCUCUAAAGUGAAUCUCUAAAGUGAUCGUUACUAAAAACGUCGGUGGGCACAGUCGGCAAGUGACGGUACUGCCUUUCUGUGUGGGAGGCCUCACUGAUACCUCAACAUUCACCCGAAGCGUGAAGGGUGUGCAUCCCUCGGUCCCCAGGCCUCCCCUUCUGUGUCUGCUUGAUUGCCGCAGGUGUGCAAGAGCCUGUUCUGUGGGAAGCCGUGUGUCUCUGCACAGGAGCUUGGGCUUGGAGGUGCAUUUAUCAAAUGCAUGCCGGCUCCUGCAAAACUCCCUGAGAACAUUGUAAAAC